rnacentral:rRNA from 1 species
CAGCCGUAAACUAUGCGCGUUAGGUGUACUGGUGACCACGAGUCACCGGGGUGCCGAAGGGAAACCGUGAAACGUGCCGCCUGGGAAGUACGGUCGCAAGGCUGAAACUUAAAGGAAUUGGCGGGGGGAGGCACCGCAACGGGAGGAGCGUGCGGUUUAAUUGGAUUCAACACCGUAAAACUCACCAGGGAAGACUGUUACAUGAAAGCCGAGAUGAAGACUCUGCUAGAUUUUCAGAGAGGUGGUGCAUGGCGUAGACGUCU